CAAUAGGCCUCUCGCCCUUUGGGCUUGAGCCCUAAUAAUUAAAGCUGCAAGCAGCGAUGAACGGGCCCUCGCACCCGGGCUCACCGGCAGCGAGUGGCUUUAGUUAAUAGGUGAACGGUGAGAAAUAUGCGUUUAAACUCAUAAAUAUAAGUAGAAUAUAUCAAUGUUUAUUCCAUAUAUGUGCCAAUCUUCCUGUUGCCAGCAGGUGGCGCUAUCAUUAUAGUGGAAUAUUGGCCUUCAGAUGAGUUCAGGGCAGGACUUUUGUCGAACAUGUGAGGUUUGGGGAGGAUUGGACAUUUUAUGCCUGAGUUACAACAACAUCCUAUUUCAUGGCGAAACAUCAAAAUUUGUCAGGCCGCCAUGGACACGCCCUUUAACGAAACCUCAAGAUCUUCGCAAUUUAAGAUCGCAAAAGGCUUUAGAUUACACUGACCAAGUUUGGUGUUGAUCUGAAUAAAUCUCUAGGAGGAGUUUGCUAAAGUGCAACCCCUGAAAAUGGCAAAAACAACGCCAAUUGUGCAGAGAAAAUUCUAAAUAACUGACUUCCUGUUGGGAUUCGGAUUUUGUACCAAGAGACUUUUUCGUAGAUAUUGGUGUGUUACAUGUGUGUACCGAUUUUUGUACAUGUACAUGAAACAUAGCUCGAGACGCACUCCGUUGAAAGUGAAUACGCACUCCGUUGAAAGUGUAUAGGUGGCGCUAUCGAGCCAUUUUGCCACACCCGAUGGAAUAUCGGCCUUCAGAUCUGUUCAGGCCAGGACCCUUAUCACACAUGUGAAGUUUGAUCAAGAUCGGACAUUUUAUGCCUGAGUUAUAACAUCUUUUAUUCCCAUGGCGAGACAUCGAACUUCGUCACGGCGCCAUGGACACGCCUUUUAACAAAAACUCAAGAUCUUCACAACUAAACAUCACACAGGUCUUUAGAUUAGACUGACCACAAAAAAGACAUUGAUGUCAUCAAAUUUCUAGGAGUAGUUUGUCACAGUGUAAAAUAUGUCACUUCCUGUUGCCAAUAGGUGGCGCUAUGACUAUAACUGAAUAUUGGCAUGUAGAUCUGUUCAGGUCAAGAGUCUUAUCAAACAUGUGAAGUUUGGGGCAGAUUGGACAUUGUAUGUCUGAGUUAUGGCACCAUCAUUUUUCAUGGCGAAUCAUCAAAAUUUGUCAGGCCGCCAUGGACACGCCCUUUAACAAAACCUCAAUUCCUUCGCAAUUUAACAUCACAAAGGGCUUUAGAUUACACUGACCAAGUUUGGUGUUGAUCUGAAUAAAUCUCUAGGAGGAGUUCGUUAAAAUACAACCCCUGAAAAUGACAAAAACAACACCAAUUUUGCAGGGGAAAUUAAAAAUAACCGACUUCCUGUUGGGAUUCGGAUUUCGUACCAAGAGACUUUUUUGUAGCUAUUGGUGUGUUACAUAUGUUUACCGAUUUUCGUACAUGUACAUGACAUGUAGCUCGAGGCGCACUCCAUUGAAAAUGUAUAGGUGGCGCUAUCGAGCCAUUUUGCCACACCGAAUGGAAUAUUAGCCUCCAGAUGUGUGCAGGUCAGUACUCUUAUCAAACAUGUGAAGUUUGGGCAAGAUCUGAUAUUUUAUGCCUGAGUUACAACAACUUCUACUCCCAUGGCGAGACAUCGAACUUUGACAUGACGCCAUGGACACGCCCUUUAACGAAAAUUCAAGAUCUUCACAAUUUAACAUCGUACAGGCCUUUAGAUUAGACUGACCACAAAAAAUACAUUGAUGUCAUAAAAUUUCUAGGAGUAGUUCUUCGCAGCGUAAAAUAUGACACUUCCUGUUGCCAAUAGGUGGCGCUAUGAAUAUAACUGAAUAUGGGCAUGUCAAUCUAUUCAGUUUCAGAGUCUUAUCAACCAUGUGAAGUUUGGGGCAGAUUGGACAUUGUAUGUCUGAGUUAUAGCAACUUCAUUUUUCAUGGCGAAUCAUCGAAAUUCGCCAGGCCGCCACUGACACGCCCUUCGACGAAAACUCAAAAGCUUCGCAAUUUAACAUCGCAAAGGCCUUUAGAUUAGGCAUACCAAAUUUGGUGUUGAUCUGAAUGAAUCUCUAGGAGGAGUUCGUUAAAAUACAACGCAUGGAAAUGACAAAAAUGACACAAAAUUUGCUCAUAAUAUUAGAAAUAACCGACUUCCUGUUGGGUUUCGGAUUUUGCUCCAAGAGACUUUUUUGUAGGUAUUGGAGAGUUACAUGUGUAUACCGAUUUUCAUACAUGUACAUGAAACGUAGCUCGAGGCGCACACCGUUGAACGUGUAUAGGUGGCGCUGUUGAGCCAUUUUGCCACACCCACUUCUGAAACCCAUAUCAGACGUAAAUUUUCGCCAGUUCUGAGGUGUGUGCAAAGUUUCAUGACUUUUCGAGCAUGUUUAGGCCCUCAAAAAUGCGAUUCAUUUUGGAGAAGAAGAAUAAUAAUAAUAAAUAUAGCUGCAAGCAGCGAUGGCGGGCUCAAGCCACCAAUGCCAUCGCCACCCCGGUGGCAUCAGGUAAACUGUGCCCAGCGGGCACAUGCAUUCACAAUAUCCCUCUGGCAGUGAAGUUUUAAGGGAUAUGGCAGUUAAAGGGUUAAUCCGAAUCAUCUAGACUUUAAAAUCACAUUCAUAUAUAACUUUAGUAACACUUUACAAUAAGAUUUCAUUUAUAAACAUUAUGUUAACAUGAAUAAUAUUUAUAUAGAAUUCAUUCAUGUCAGUUAAUAUUCCAAACUUAAACAUUAAAACAUUGUUUUAUUGUGAUUUUUUUCCAAGCACAUUUUACCAAUUCCAAACCAUAUCAAUCUUAAUAACUACCAUUAUUUUUUAUUUAAUCAUUUAUGAGUGCUAUACAAUAGUCCAGGAAAGCUGGAAGAGAAAAACUCCUUAUAUUCAUGUGUGCAGAAUUAUUAGGCAUGUUUUCUUUUACAGAUGAAAUGCGCUAAAAAAGAGUUUUAACUCAAACUGUUUUAACUCAAAGUCGAAAUUAUGAAAUACCCAUGAGAAAUAUCAAACACAAAUGCAAUACAGAAAUGGAUAAAUUAAGACUUGACCAUUGUACAAAAAUGCUGACAGGGUCAUGAGGUCAGAAAAGAAGAAGAAAAAACAGGUUAAGAAGAACUGACAAAAAGAAUUGCAAAAUAAUUAGGAAUUAAUGUGAAGAUUAAUUUUUAGUCAAUUUUGCAAGACAGACUUUCAGGAAAGGAGGUGGAAUAAAAAUGAGCUCCUAAAUCUUAAUCCCGGAUUCUGGAAGAUAUAUUCCUCAAACCAUCGGACAAGAGGAGGUGGUGCUGGUCCUUCACGAGUCACUCUAAUCUGUUCAUAAAGCCUAUAUAUAAAGUCUUAAUAUAUAGUAUUUCACAAUACUUCAUGGUAUUCUAAUUAAAUCAUUUUUUGGAAUCUUAGAUCUCUCAGAACCUGACACAUUGUAAUUCUGAGACUCCAGGAAAGUGUCAGUUCUGUAAAAUGUUGGCACUGGAGACUAAAUGCUCCCUGAUAGUUUCACACCUAAUUCACUUAACACACACACACACACAUACACACACACAUUACCCACAGUGACAGAGGGACAGAGUGACAUCAGAUGUAUGAUAGUUUUUUAAUUUUCUAUCAUCCAUAUAGUGUUGUAUAGUCAUGAAACUAUGCAUAUUUCCUCAGAAUGACUUGUCUUCUAUGUGUAUAUUUUUUUAAGUGUUUAGAAGCUGCACUUAAAAAAAAUAAAAGACAUUUACUGGUUACUUUUUUACUGUUAUUUCAAAAAAUCACCAUGACAAAACCAUUCAAGCUAUUCAAAAUUAAUUCGCACCUGUUCUGUAAGAUAAAUUCUUUAAACAGUGGUAAAAGAGGAUGUGGUGCUGAUCCUUCAAGAGUCACUCAAAACAUAUCUGUCCAUAAAGCCUAUAAAGAACUAUUCUUAAUAUACAGUUCACAAUACUUCAGCUUGUUAUUCUAAUUAUGUGAGGGUUAUUUUAUCAGUAAAAUACAUAAAAUACAUAUUAUUUUUCUUUGAAAGAUUUCUAUAAAUGAUUUAAAUCAUACUUGUUUCUACAAUAAUUAUUUAAAAGUAAUCCUAUAGCACCA